rnacentral:tRNA from 1 species
GGAGAUAGCUCAGUGGUAGAGUGCUUGCCUAGCAUGCAUGAAGCCCUGGGUGCAAUCCCCAGCAAUAUCCC